GCCUGGGUGGCUCAGUCGGUUGAGCGUCUGACUUCGGCUCAGGUCAUGAUCUCAUGGUCUGUGAGUUUGAGCCCCACGUCAGGCU
rfam:Felis catus isolate Cinnamon breed Abyssinian chromosome C2, whole genome shotgun sequence.